ACUCAUGGUACCCCCUCGUGGUUUAGACACCUACUGGAGGAGUAAACACACUUUGGAGUCUACUGAAUAAGCAAUCUCCUUUCCACCAGACCUGUCCUGGAUGAGUAAAUUACUCUGCAGCCACACAACAGAUGAGCUCCUUCCAGAGUAGCUCCCCCUCAGCCAGGAUCUCUCCGCAUCUCACGGUAGUGUUCUGGUGUCUUGUUCUACACCUCCAGUUAUCUGAAGUUGAGGAAAUGGAAGCUCAAAGAGAUGAAUUGACCAGCCUAUAACCAUAUACUGUGAAAGUAUUGAAACCAGGACUUGAAACUAGUGUCUUUUGACUCUCAGUUGAGUGCUUUUCCCAUAACCUGGGUUGGUUUAGGUGGGGUUUACAUUCCACGGAAUCACAGAAUUUGAGAGUUGCAAGGGACCACAGCAGCCAUCUUGUUUAAGCUAUACGUAAAAAAGAAUCCCUGCUAUGAAAUGCAAAGUAUCAUUCAGAAUCUGCUUGGAGACCUCCAAUGAAGGAAAACUCACUACUUCUUGAGGUAAAUUUUGGAUAGAUUUAAUUGUUAAGAAUUCCUGGCCCACCCUCUCCAUGUCCAUCAAUUGGGGAAUGGCUGAACAAAUUACUGUAUAUGAUUGUGAUUGAAUACUAUUGUGCUAUAAGAAAUGACAGCAGGAUGUGCUUAGAAAAACCAGGACUUACAUGAGCUGAUGCAAAGCGGAAUAAGCAGAACCAGGUGAACA